rnacentral:lncRNA from 1 species
AAUUUUUUGCUAAACUACGAGCAAUAAUAUCAUCAACUCUUAACCAAUCAGCUUCAAGAAAGUCUAUUUCUUCAUUCAAAUUCAUUUCAAGUGCCUUAUCACUUUUUUUCACUGCAUUUUUCACUUUUUUCGAUUGACUUGUCACUUUUUCUGAUAGGCAUCUCAACAUCUUUUUCCCUACCACUCAUUUCAAACUCAUUACCUAAAGCAAAAUUAGGGAGAAGUCAUUAAAAAAGUUACCCGAAUCAUCAGGUAAGCUAUUCACACCAUCUUACAAAAAAAGUCACAAGAGACACGAAAAAGUUACAAAGAUAUUCAAAAAGUGACAAUAAAUCAAAAGAAUGACAAAAACUCCCACAACUAUUAAUUUUAAACUCGAAAACUCUUGAAUAUCUUCAUUGGUUCUUCAUUACCAGCUAGUAUCUUCUUCACUUUGCGUUUCAAACUUUAUAGACGCUCCAUUAAUUCUUCAUUCGUUUUAAUCCUUUCUUCAACAUCUUUUAGACAGUCCUCAGUCGGGUUUGACUGAAUUUUAACUUCAAGAUCUGAAAUACGUUUUAAAAUCAUAUCAUGUGAUCGAACAACUUUCAGUUCAACCUCAAACAGCCGUCUCAAAUGUUCUUCCUUUGAUUACUGGACUUACUAAAAAGAACACAGAAUAAUAUGAAAAAAUAAAUUGAAAUGGAAUAGAAAUAGUAAAAAGAAAAAAUGCCCACAAAUCUUGUGAAUCUUCCCCUUUUUUCUUUUCUACAGACAUUUCAGCUCGGUCAACAAAUUUUUCUUUUCAUCCAUCUUGUAAGAACAACAGGAUGCUGAAAAUCAUCAUCAUCUUGGUCAAGCCCCAAACAUUCAACAAAUAUUUCCCUAGAUUCAAGUGAACCUCUAGAUAGGUAAUGAGACGACAAAAAAACAUUCAAGUUAAGUCAUGACAAUUCAAAUUGGUAAAGAGUGACAAACAUUAGUGAAGACAAGCUAACCAGAAGUUGACAACUUAUGAUGCUACACGAUGACAUAAAACUCUCCUCUACAUGCAGAUAUUAGCCACUAUAAAUGUAUGCAUGUGCAUGAAUCACUUUUGACAAACACUCAAAAAAGUUAAAGAAAAAGUCAUCAAAUUUAAAAAAGUGACAACAGAGUAUUUCUUUAACAAAAAGGGAUGUUUGAUUGUAAGAAACCACGAAAGCAAUGAAAUGAAAAGUUAAAGUCAUCAAACAAAACUUUAAAUUUGGUUCUACGGAUGCUAUUACCACUUUAGGUGAAACUACAAAUGAUAACUUAGUUUUAAGCUCUACACUGAUGUAAGAUUGCUAAAGUCUAAAUUAUAAUAUUUUCAAAUACAAUGUCUCGAAAUCUAUGGUUUACGACACGUAUAACUUCGUAAUUUAUAAUCACAAACAUCACUAUUUUUUUUAUUUUUUAUUUUUUUCCUUUUCCCCAUUCUUAGGACUCCUUUAAUCUUUAAAUCUCUUUUAUUGAUUUAUAGUAAGCUAAACAUAAACGAAAUUCCAAAGUGAGCCAAAAAUCAACAUUGCAACAAUACAAUGCCACAUAACAUGACAUGUGAAGUCUAUUAAAUUACAAAAACAAAAACUAAACAUAAUGGGCAAACCAAUUACUGUAGCAUUCAAAUUUGUCAUUAUCUAAUCACAUGCAAAAAAGCUAUGGUUUUACACCAUCUAUGCCAUAAAUUUUACACCAUGCACAAAAAUUCAACAAAUUGUAAGUAUUAUUAUCACAGUAAAGCAUAAAAAGUUGCUACCUUGGGUUUAUAAGAAAAUGAACAAAUUUUUUAAGUUCAAUUGGAUUGAGUUGUGUUGAAAAAUUAUAUUUUAGGUUGGACUGAAUUGGGUUAUGAUUUAAAAUCCAACCUAGCCCACCCAAUCAAUUAAGAAAAUUAAUAUCUAAGAUGAAAAAAAAAACCUAAAUAAACACAACAGUAAAGAUAUGAAAAUGACUUAUAAUUUAUAAAUGUCCAUUUUCUUUAUAUGGAUUGAUUCACAUGAACACCAUGUACAAAUGAAACGUUAUUUGACAAUAAAGUAGAAAUUAAAAACAUGAUGACAAAAUGAAUAAAUCCAAAAAAGUUGUUAAAAAAAUACUUUAUAAAUUUUUAAACUUAUUUAUACAUUAUUUUCCAAAAAGAAUUCCUUAUAUAGGCAUUUAAAAAAGGGAGAUUUUCAAGUAAUUUCAAACUUUAAAAUUUUAUCCAAAUUCAAUAAAAAAAAAAAUCGAAUCCAAAUUUAAUUGGGAAAAAUUCGUCCCGACCCGACCGAUGCAUGCCCAUCCCUAGCAGAAAUAGGAGUUAAUAGUCGGAAUCGAGAUCAGAUUUCUGGAUUUCGGACUAAGGUUUAGGUUAUUUGGUAUUUAAGGUUGAAAUGAGAAUGAGAUAAUUAAAUCAAAUGGACACGGAAGAAAGACGAAGAAGAAAUCGAUGUAAAAUGGGCCAGAAAUUGAGAUUUAUGGUCGGAUGUUGCUCGGAGAAAAGGAAUCGUACCUGGAGUUUUUGUAUUUUGCUUCUGGCCAAUUUCUACGAAUGACGAUAUUUUAGGUGG